GAUGAACGCUAGCGGCAGGCCUAACACAUGCAAGUCGAGGGGUAGCAGGAUUAAGCCUGCUUAAUUGCUGACGACCGGCGCACGGGUGUGUAACGCGUAUGCAACCUACCUUAUACUGGGGUAUAGCCCGGAGAAACUCGGAUUAAUCCCCCAUAGUACUAAUGAAUCGCAUGGUUUAUUAGUUAAAGCAUUGCGGUAUAAGAUGGGCAUGCGUCCUAUUAGCUAGAUGGUGAGGUAACGGCUCACCAUGGCUACGAUAGGUAGGGGGCCUGAGAGGGUGGUCCCCCACACUGGUACUGAGACACGGACCAGACUCCUACGGGAGGCAGCAGUGAGGAAUAUUGGUCAAUGGGCGCAAGCCUGAACCAGCCAUGCCGCGUGCAGGAAGAAUGCCCUAUGGGUUGUAAACUGCUUUUAUUUGGGAAUAAACCUCUUUACGUGUAGAGAGCUGAAGGUACCAAAUGAAUAAGCACCGGCUAACUACGUGCCAGCCGCCGCGGUAA
rnacentral:rRNA from 1 species